rnacentral:lncRNA from 1 species
UCCCCACAUCCGUGUCAACAUGGUUCUAAGCACAGAUGCUGGCGGGAAGGAAACACCUGCUCAGCGACAGCAUUGGACGCUGUCCAACCAAAUUACCUGGGUCCUCCCCUGGGUCCUUUAGUGUGUGGCCACAUCUGAGUCUCACUCGCAAAUACUGUUUCCCAUGAUUUUUUGUCAUUGUAGUGAGUUUAUGUGGCAAGAAAACAUCCGCAUGAUACCCAAGCACAUGGUGAUUCUGACUCUUCAUGGAAAAGUCCCGGAGGCCCUCUGGCUAUGGACAGGGCCAACCUCUCUCAGCUGGCCUCAGGAAUCAGGAGGAACCAUGUUUUGCGGAUUCUGCAAUCUAAACCUUGCUCUAACCUGUCUUCUCUACAUCUCCAAGGCCAGAAUGUAAGUUCUGUAAGACCAGGGAUCUUGUCUAGCUCGUUUAUUACCAUGUUAUUAGCAUAGGAUAAUGGUUAAGACCAUGGAUGCUGAAGCCCAACGAUCUGAGUUCGGAUCCUCCGUCAUUUACUGGCCGUGUAAGCACCUGUAAAUUACAUCACCUCUCCUUCAGUUUCCCCCUUUGUAAAAUGGGGGUGAUGCUUGCCCUGAGGCAUAGGGUUGUGGCGAGGAUUAAAUCAGUUAAUGGCUGUAUGGUGCUCAGAACCAAGCCAGGCACCUGGUGAACACUCAGGAAGCAUUGGCUAUUACUAGCAUAGCCUGCCCCCUGCACAGUGCUUGGUUUAUAAAUGCAUUAAAAAAUGUACUGGCUUGGAGUUGCCGCUGUGGUGCAGUCGUUAACGAAUCGGACUAGGAACCAUGAGGUUGCGGGUUCGGUCCCUGGCCUUGCUCAGUGGGUUAAGGAUCCAGCAUUGCCGUGAGAUGUGGUGUAGGUGGCAUAUGCAGCUCGAAUCCCGCGUUGCUGUGGCUCUGGUGGAGGCUGGCGGCUACAGCUCCGAUUAGACCCCUAGCCUGGGAACCUCCACAUGCCGUGGGAGCAGCCCUAGAAAAGGCAAAAAGACAAAAACAAAAAACAAACAAAAAAAUGUACUGGCUGGAUUUCCCGUCGUGGCUCAGUGGUUAAUGGGCCCGACUAGUAUCCAUGAGGACAUGGGUUUGAUCCCUGGACUUGCUCAGAGGGUUAAGGAUCCGGUGUUGCCUGUGAGCUGUGGUGUAGGUUGAAGAUGAGGCUUGGAGCCUGUGUUUCUGUGGCUCUGGUGUAGGCCAGCAGCUACAGCUGCAAUUCGGCCCCAAGCCUGGGUACCUCCAUAUGCCGUGGGUGCAACCCUAAAAAGACCAAAAAAAAAAAUUACUGGCUGAAAUGAAUGAAUGCCGCUGCUCUAAUUUACAGUCUUAUUAUCUUUGCUUGGACAAAGAUAGCUGGGCUUAUUUCCUAUAGACCCCCCAAUCCUUUACCCCAUUCACUCUAUGCACUGCUGUUGGAGUUACAUGUCCAACAUACAAAUAUGAAGGUGUGCCAUUCCAUUGCCUAACACCCUCCAGUGGCUCCGUGGUCCCCAUAGAUGGCCAGAGCAAAAUGCAAACUCCUUGGCAGAGCCUACGUGCAUGAACUCCUGUGAUCUGGCCCCCAUCGUCUCACUCUGCUGACGCUGAACCCGUGGCAGUUGUCCAAAGAGAUCACCUUCCUUGUCCCCUCAGAUCCUCUGCUUCCCCCGCCUGGAAUGCCCUCUCUCUGCUCAGUCCAGCUGACAAAAGUAUUUUCAUUUGAGUUGCAGCAGUGACGUUAGGUCCCAGAUGCAGGGCCUUCUGGGCAGAGCUAGGUACAUACAGUAUUAGAGCCUUUAUCGAAUUAUAGUAUAAUUGUUUUCAUGCCCACCCUCCCCACUGGGCUGUGAGCUCCUUGAUGCUGGAAGAUGGAAGAUGGAAGUCGCAUCUUAUUCAGACCUGUAUUCCUGGCAAGAAGCACAGGGUCCGUAGUAGAGCCUUAAUAUACAUUCAUCAAAUAGAUGGUUCAUUUUAAGAAGUACCCAAUAAAGCUCGAAAUUUGUAUUUUCCCGAUUCUUGU